rnacentral:rRNA from 1 species
UACGUAGGGGGCAAGCGUUGUCCGGAAUCAUUGGGCGUAAAGAGCGCGUAGGCGGCCCUGUAAGUCCGCUGUGAAAGUCAAGGGCUCAACCCUUGAAUGCCGGUGGAUACUGCAGGGCUAGAGUCCGGAAGAGGCGAGUGGAAUUCCUGGUGUAGCGGUGAAAUGCGCAGAUAUCAGGAGGAACACCUAUUGCGAAGGCAGCUCGCUGGGACGUGACUGACGCUGAGACACGAAAGCGUGGGGAGCAAACAGG